AUUUCCGCGGGCGCUGAGCACUAGAGAGAGCGUCUUGUGGCUGCGGCCUGCCCCUCAGCCUCCUCCGCGCGGUUACCCCUGUACCCGCCGCCAUCCGUCCUGGCGCUCCGGAUGAGUCAAUGAGGGGCAGGGCCCGAGGAGUGGUCUUCCCAAGAACCCCUGGUGGCCUCCCAAGGCCGGUGCUGUGUACCUCCUCCCCGACAAAAGGGGAAACUGAGGCCCCGAGGGGAGUGGGAAGAGCCGGCUGGACGUCAGGCCCAGCCGCUGGUGCAGUGGUCCGUCCCCUCUGCCGGGGUGGGCCCCUCGGGUUUCGCGUGUCCUCGGGAAAGAGACUGGCGGGCCUCGUGGGCUGUGCGGCUAUCCUGGAGACAGAUGACAGCUCUCCCUUGGAUGGCUUUGCUGGUUCCGCACCAGCCAGCGCCCCCAUUUUUCCUGCAGCACCCUGAUCUGCACUCCCUGAGGGGCUCCCACUGUCCGCGGUGUGAGGAUGUCCCUGGAUAGUCCACUGUGUGCAGAGGCAUGGGAGUUGUCAUGUUGGGAACAUGCUAGACCUCAGUAUCCUUGAGGGAUGCUGCCUUGGGUCUGGAAACUGUUAGAGGAAACCCCAAGAGGUGCAGGCACUGAGCCUCUCAGGACAAUGACCUGGGGUCCCAGCUCCCCUGGAGGGGCCUCCUCAUGGUAAGUGAAUGCCAAGAGGUUAAGUUGGCCUGUGUUUCCGAGGUGGAAAUUCCAGGUCGCUGGCUUCAUUUGUCUUCUCUUUUAGAUUGUUUGGGGGUUGAUCACAGACCAAGAGUGACGAGUGAUGUCACCCUGUGACUCAUGGCUGGACCUUCUUGCCCCUAUUGUCUCAGCACAACAUUAUUCGACUUUUCCCUCAGCGUGGGUGGGCAGAGGAAAAGCCCUGUGGCUCUGGGGACUUGGGAUCCAGAGUUGAAGACCCUUCAGCUGGCUCUGCCCUGCCAGUGCCACAGAGUGCCAUGGCCCAGGAAGACAGGUUUUCUUCCAUCUAGGCCAGGCCAUCCAGUGGCCAUCCUCCGUGUCCUCCCGCCUCCUCCUGGUGUGACUUCUGAAAACCAAGAAUUUGUUCCUGUUGACUUUUUCUGUGCUAUGGACCAUUGUCCUCUCACCCACUCAAUAAAUCUUGAAACAUGC
rnacentral:lncRNA from 1 species